UCUCUUUGCUGCUUGAACUUGUAUUUUUGAAUUAUGUUUCGUGUUGGUGAUUCGAUUUUUCUGGGUUUGUUUUUUAGUGGGUGCUUCAAAAAGAUUAUUUCUUUUCUCCUAUUUGUUUGGUUUCAAUCGAUGUUUUGAUUUGUAAAAGCUGUUGCUGUAAUUUAUUUAUUGUUCAAUCUCGAUAUGCAGAUCUGUUCGCUCCCAUCGCGAUUACUUUAGGUGUCUAUUUGCACAAAUGUUCCUUUACCCUUUCUCUUCCCCAAAAGCUUGAGCAAUUGAUAUCGAGAAGUGCUACUUUUGUAACUUACCGUGUAUAUGUGUGUGUGUGUUUGUGCAUUCUUUGUGAUUACAUGGAGCUGAAAUUUGAUAUUUAUGACUAGGUUUUUGUCUACAAAUUUUUUUUCUUCGGAAAAGAUGCCAAAUUUAUCACCAUGUUUUAAAACUUGAUUAGCGCUGUUAAUGGUUAUUUAUACUAUAUAUGUACUUGCAAUUCCUCUGAGUGCUCCUGGUUUCAAUUGAUUUUUUUUGUUUACUCAAUUAUUGCUGAAUUGUUUAAUCUGCCAGCCGUUUAAUUGAAAUGUUCUAUUUGCUGCAGCUUGAAAAAAAAUG
rnacentral:misc_RNA from 1 species